rnacentral:lncRNA from 1 species
CAGGGGGUCCCUGUCCCUGCCAGGUCCCCAGACCCAGCUCAGGCCCUCUGUUCUGUGCUUGCACCGGCUGGGCACUCCAUGCAGCCCGGGAAUGACUUUAGAGUGGCCUGGCCACAUGUGGGGACUGGCUGCACAGUGCCUCAGUGUUUACCCAGGACUCAGCCCCGCCACCCUCAGGGCUGCAACUCUCAGGCCUCCUCCUGAGCAAACGGAAGGGAGCAGAGGCUCUGCUGGGCCAGGCCCAGGCCCUCCCUGCCCAGCCCAGCCCCCUGUGGGCUGUGGGGAACAGGCAGAGACCAUCUUCCUGGACAGUGGCCCAGGAGGAUGUGGCAGGGGGCAGCAGCCGGGCAGCUGAGGCCAGGGCAGCCUGGGAAGUCCGUGCUGGAGCUGUUGUUUGUACCGCGGGCCCUGGGCCACCCCACCCACUCAGGCGGCUUGGCCUCCAGGCCCCUCUCCAGGGGCUGUGUUUCCCAUAACUCUGCUCCCCGGUCAUGAACCUCGGGGCAGGAAGGCCCUCAGAGACCAGCUCCCACUCCACAGUGGACAGAAGAAGCCCAGGCCCAGGGAGCGAACAGGCCUAAGGCCAGCUGGUGAGUGGCUGGGUCAGGAGGGGGCCCUGGAAACCCUGGUUAAUCCCUCCUUCCCCAUGCAGUCCAUGAACUUGACCAUGGACCCUGUGUCCACUGGUUCAUCCCUCCCACUGGGAGCUCCAGCAGACGGAGAAGGGCCUUUGUUCUAUUCCUAGUGUUGGGCAGAGGACCUGGCAAAGGAGCAGGUGAAUGGAGCUCCUACUCCAGUCCUGUGGCCUUCUAAUGCUCCUGUCCCCACCCCUUCGUGCCCUGAGUGUUUGGGGAGGUCAGAAAAGGCAUGAUUUUCUUUGAGUCUCCUGGGCCUUCAGGCAGGACAGCAUGGUCUCCUGGUCUCAUGAUCUCAGAAAAGAGCUUGGGAAUAAUGGGACCUGCCCAGAAGAGGAGAGAGGGGAGGUCCUCAGAGCUAAAACUGGAAUUUGAUCUAGGAUGACCAUUUUGCCCGAAAAGAAGGAUUCCUGGUGUAGGGACCUUUGGUGCUAAAGGAAGUACCCAGGCUGGGGAUGUGGCUCAGUAACAGAGCCCUUGUCUAGCAUGUAGAAGGCCCUGGGUUCCAUCCCCCAGCAUCACAGAAACAAAACUAAAAACAAGAGGUGGGCUGAGGCUGGGCACAGUGGCAAAGCCCUGUAAUCCCAGUGGCUUGGGAGGCUGAGGCAGGGGGAUCACAAGUUCAAAGCCAGCCUCAGCAAAAAAGUGAGGCACUAAGCCACUCAGUGAGACCCUGUCUCUAAAUAAAAUACAAAAUAGGGCUGGGGAUGUGGCUCAGUGGUCGAUGGCCCCUGAGUUCAAUUUAAAAAAAAAGAGGUGGGCUGGGAGUGAGCUCAGCUAGAGUGUUUGCCUAGCCUGUGGGAGGCUCUGGGUUCCUUCUGCAGCCCUGGAAAAAAAAAAAAAAAGAGGCAGAGGUGCUGGCUCCACCUCCUAUUGUGUAACUGUGGAUAAGCUGCUUCUCUCCUGACACCUCAAAGGCUUAUCUGGAAAAGAGUCAAUAUCUACCCUCUGACCCUCCUGGUUGCCAUGAAGUUCUGGGAAGCUAUGGAGGAAAAGUCAGAAUGUGCUAUGUCCCAGGAGAUGUGAGGGCUGGUGGCCAUCCCAGUGAAGGACUUCCUCUUACCCCCCACUCCCACUUCCUGCGAUUCAUUGACUCACCGGCAGACACUGGCUCAGCACCUAGGAUAUGGGGGAAAUGGGAAAUGCUGGGUUGGAAAAGGAAGAGCUCAGCCCUCCUGGAAUUCACAGCACAGGCACGGGCGAUUAGAGUACAGUAAGAAGAAUCUGUUCAGCACAAGUUUUUCAUGAGCAGCUACUAUAUGCCAAACACUUGACUGAAGUAUUUUACAAACAUUAACUCGUUCGAUAUUCAUACAGCCUGUGUACUGAGCUGAGGGUUGACAUUUAUCCUGAAGGUGGCUGACAGGGUGUAGUGGAGGUAGCAGAGGGGCAGUUGGACAGCCCUGGGUUUUUAUGGAUCGAGGCUGUAAGGAGAGCUGGGAGGAGAGAGGAGGCAAGGGAACCUGGUAGCUGCCUCCUGAUGGAUUCCUCUUAUGAUUUAAGUCUUGCCAGGCCAAGAGGGGUCCAGUUAACCCACACUUCUGAUGGAUCAAGGUUCAUGUUUAGCGAGGACCUGGGCACAGCCCGAGGUUGGGGACUUCAAAAGUGCCAGUUAUAAAAAGGCGCCCUUGAAGGGAAGACUCGGUUGGAGCUGGCUCACCACCCGACCGACCCUGAAGCUAGGUAACUGAGUGCUCCAAAGGCCCUUCAAGCCCCGCUACUCCAGCUACCUAGCGAGGACCUGCGGCCAGGGAUAGAGUGAGCGGCAGACACGCGCACAGUCGCCAGGCGAGUAGGUGUCCUAGCCGGGCCUGCGGAAGGCCAGGCCGGAUUUCUGCAAGUUGAGUCCUUGUAGGGCGGGGCCCGAAGCGGGUCUCAGUUUGGGCAGGGGCGGUCCGGAGAAGCCCGGCCUAGCGGAGAAGUCUGUCCCGGAGGUGGGGCGGGGCCGUCAGGGUGGGGCGCCCCGCCCCGGCCCCGCCCCCGCUCCGCGCCUGCCCAUAUAAGGCGAGCGCCGCGCCGAGCGCCCCUGGCGAGCUGCUGUCGUCACGUGUGCCUUCCCGACGGCCCGGGGCACCUUUCCAGGGCCGCCCCGCACCCGCCUUCCUGCCGGGAAGUGCUGCCCCGCCCGCCGCCCGCUGGGUCCCCGCGCACCUGCGUCCGUCACAUCCCAGCGCGGGAAUCAGGCCCGCGCAGUGGGCUGGGUGGGCUUGUCGGACCAGAAAGUGGGGAUCUGGGGUACCCAAACCUGGGGUGGCCGCUGGGUGGGAACACGAGCCUCUGAGGACGGCCGACCUGCCGGACGCCUGCCAAGUGCUGGGCAUUGAACUCGCCUUGUAAAAAAAGAAUCUGCUGGAGCAGAAGGAUCGCGAGUUCAAAGCCAGCCUCUGCAACAGCGCGGCGCUGAGCAGCUCAGGGAGACCCUGUCUCCAAAUAAACUACAAAAUAACGGGAGGAGGCUCAGGGGUCGGUUCCUGAGUUCAAUGCCCGGUCCGAAAAAGAAUCUGCGUGUUCCAAGCCGCGUAGUGAGGCCAGCUCUGGAGCGGUGUGGCCGGGUCUGACUCCCUGCGUUGCUUGAGGCUUUGUGAGCAACUAGUGCAGAUUCUCUGUGCUUCAGUUUCCUCACCUGUAAAAGGGGGUCUUAACGGUUCAUUCAGUGUGAGCGUUAGAUGUGUUAAUAGAAGUCCGCGCUUGCCCUUGAUGAGCCCUUGAUGAAUGGUGGAAAUAGUUGACCCUGAAGGGCCAUGUCCCCAAAGGGGCAGCGAGGAGACCCAAAUCUCUGUGUCUGUGACUCUGAGGGCACCCUUAGCUACCUGGUCUUAUUUGCUGGCUUUAGGGGUCACAGGUGCAGCUCCUAAAACGAACUUUGUACAUCUUUUCCACAUUUCAGCAAAUCCUGAUUUGGGCCAAAAAAAAUAAUGGGCUAGGAUGUCUAACAGCUAUUUAGCAAUCUCCCUAUUUAGCAAAAGAAAGCCCCCAGACUGGGAGCCUUGGCCAGGGGAUAGAAAUUAGGUAAAAUUAAUGAGUUUAUUUUUUUAUAUAUAUAACGUUUUUUUUAGUUGUUCAUAAAAUGAAGUUGUACCUUCAUUUUAUUUUUAUGUGCUGCUGAGGAUCAACCCAGUACCUCAUGCAUGCUAGGCGAGCGCUCUUCCUCUGAGCCACAGCCCCAGCCCACAAGUUUGAAAAUUUAGAAUUACUAUGUUUGUAUGUGCAUGGUACUGACAUUAUAUUCACUAAAUAUACUCCAGACAUAGGGCAUAGAAAGCAGCACAAUGACUCUAAGAUUCCCACCACACACACACUGAGGACUGAACCUGGGGGGCUCUACCACUGAGCUACAUCACGAACCUUAUUAAUUUUUUUUUUUUUUUUGCGGGGGGAGUAUCAGGGGUUGAACUUGUGGGCACUCGGCCACUGACCACAUCCCUAGCCCUAUUUUAUUUAGAGAUAAGGUCUCACUGCCUAGUGUCUCACUGUUACUGAGGCUGGCUUUGAACUCUCGAUCCUCCACCUUCAGCCUCCCAAACCACUGGGAUUAUAGGCGUGGACCACUGCACCCAGCUUAUUUUUAAUUUUGAUGUAGGGUCCCCCUAAGUUGCUGAAGCGGGCCUGAAACUUGGGAUCUUCCUGCCUCGGCCUCCCUGGUUAAUGUUCACUUUUUUGUGUUUUGAUUCUGGGGAUUGAACCCAGGGUCAUGUGCAUGCGAGCUAUAUCCCCAGCCCUAAUGUUCACUUUUAAAAUAUAUAAAUAUAUAAAUGUAUGUGUUAAAAUGUGAGCUGAUCAAAAAGAAAGUCUGUGACAAGGUUUGUACACACCUCCCAUGGCUACCCUAGGCCAGGCAGGAUGAGGAACCAAGUGCCUCUCUCCUUCCAGUCUUGGUGGGAGGGGAGGGUGCCCAGAGGGGCCAUCCGAGGCCCUGGCAGCCCGCCUGCAGCACACACAUGCCUCCGUGCCAGGUUGCCCCUAGACUCCAGGUCCCCUGGGUUAUUACAGCCUGACUUCUCACCACCCGCCCAGCCCCAGGCAGCAUCCCCAACACAGAGCCUGAGGAAUUUUCUAAAGAUAAAGCCCACUUCCUGUCUCUUUCCCCAGUUAGCCUCCCAUGGCUCCCCGGCCUGCAGGAGAAAGACCCUGCUCUUCCCAGGGUGCUCUGAGUGUUCCCGAGCCAUCUGCGGUUGCCUGGAUAUUCGGUUGGUAAAUAUUUAAUGCACAGGAUUCCACACCAAAACCCUCAGGCUCAGCACUGGGGUAAAGCCCAGCAGGCCUGGUUCAUCCCAUGGAAUUUCCGGUGGGGGUGGAUUAAAUACAUAAGUGUAAAUUUAAAAAGAAGAAAAGUGCUACGAAGGGCCCAGCAGCACCCAGGGAGCUUUCACCCUUUGCCGGGAAGGCCCAGCCCAGCAGCCUCCUCUAGAGCUCUGCCUGGCCAUUCCUGUCAUCUUAGGUGCCCGAGGUGUUGUGGUUCCUCGGCUCUUAUCACAGGGGAUUGUGAUUUAUAAGCCUGUCCCCCAUGUUUGAGCUCCUCGAGGAAAGAGGCCGACUCUGGUGACCUGGGACGAUUCAGCUUUCAGUCCCUUGUUCAUUCACUCAUUUUCAUUCAUCCAUAAAUCAGAGGGGCCAGGGUCCCCUUCAUCUGCCAAACCCUGAUACUGAGUAGUAGAUUAAGAGGGUGAGCGCUGGGCUGGGGAUGUGGCUCAAGCGGUAGCGCACUCGCCUGGCAUGCGUGCGGCCCCGGGUUCCAUCCUCAGCACCACAUACAAACAAAGCUGUUGUGUCCGCCAAAGACUGAAAAAUAAAUAUUAAAAUUCUCUCUCUGUCUGUCCCCUCUCUUUCUUAAAAAAUAAAAAUAAAAGAGGGUGAGAGCUGUGCUGCAGCCACUAACAAGACCCCACCAGGUGACAGUUGGACAGGCCUCCUAGGUGUCAGAGUGGGAGAAAAGGAAUUUGAGGAAAGAGGCUGGAGCCAGUGCAGCCAGGUGUGUGGCAAGCGGCUGAGGAAGGGUGAGCUGCAGCCUGGUGGUCAGGGCCUCUGGCCGGCUCCGUUUCCUGCUGGUGGACAGAAGGCCGGAUGAAUGAUCUAAGGCAGCCGUGCCACUUCAAGGUUUUGUGACUGUGACUGGGAGUAAGAAAUACAUCACAUCACAACCUGGCACAAGGCUUAAAAUUGAAACAAAAGUUUCACAAGAUAAUUGAUAGUUUAUUCUUUUUUUUUUAACCUUUGUAUCAUUUAUUUAUUUAUACGUGGUGCUGAGGAUCGAACCCAGGGCCUCACACAUGCUAGGCAAGUGCUCCACCACUGAGCCACAGCCCUAGACCAGAUAGUUUAUUCUUACCCCAGAAUGCACUCUCAUCUCUUUUCUAUUUUAUCAUUAUCAUCACUACUAAAUUCUGAUUUAUUCAAUUUAAGUACUAACUUAAAUAAUUUCAAGAUCACUGGUGGUUCAUGAAAGCAUUAUCUACAUCAGUUUGAGGCCAGCCUCGGAGACUUAGCAAGGCCCUGAUUCAAAAUAAAAAAUAAAAAGCACUGGGAAUGUGGCUCAGUGGUAAGCGCCCUGGCUUCAGUUUCCUGGUAGAAAAAGAAAAGCAUUGACCCCAGUGUCUUUCCAGCCUUGAGCCUGUCUGCCUAGCAGGGACUGUGGGAAGCAGCCCGCCAGAGCAGGACAGGUCUACUGGCUUCCCCCACCAUGCACACCCCAGCCCCCAUCACCAGAAGUCCCCUGGCUGUAGACUCAGGAGACCAAGCUGAGGACAUUUCUUCUACCCUGUCUCUUCCCUGCCCUCUACGCCAAGCUCUGAGUCUCCACUGGACAAUCAGCUCCCUGGCCAGGUUGAAUCAGUGCCACCGACUUCUGGGAGUGGAGUCAGGUAGGUUGGGAAGAAGGAGGGGAGUUGAAGCCCUAACUGGGUUCUGAGUUCUGGAUUCUGAAUCUGUUCCUCCCCCAGGGGCAACUCCUCCCUUCCUGUGUAGGGGAUGGCUUUUUCCUGUGAUCGCCACCUGGCCUGCAGGCCUGGCUUCUUGGCUUAGCAGAGGGUGGAAAUGGUCAGAGUCCCUACCCUCAUGCCCAUCUAAGCCUCGUCCAAAUCUUUCUUCUGUCUGGAUUCUCAGAUUCUGGAGAGAUCGGAGAAACUUGGGGGUAGGAUAAGGGCACCUUGGGCUCCCAGAACAAUGGAGCCAGAAGAGUUCUUAAAAAUGGAAUCCAGCCAGGCGCGGUGGUGCACGCCUGUAAUCCCAGCUGCUGAGGAGGCUGAGGCAGGAGGAUGGAGAAUUCAAAGACAGCCUCAGCAAAAGCGAAGUGUUAAGCAGCUCAGCAAGACCCUGACUCUAAUAAAAUACAGGAUAGGACUGGGGAUGUGGCUCAGUGGUUGAGUGUCCCUGAGUUCAAUCUCUGGUACUAACCAAAAAAAAAAAGGAAUCCAAAUGCCUCGUUUUUAUCAGUGUGGAAACUGAGGCCCAGAGACGGGAGGAUCUCACCCAAAUCACACAGGAAUUAGUCUCACUGAGCUGGAGACUCAGGCUCUUUCUUUUCAUUGUUCCAUGGUGGUGGUCUUUAGAAGGGGCCCAGGGGUGGCUCAGGAGUGGGGCUUGGAGAACUGUCCUGUCUGGGAGAAACUGGAUUGGGUGCUUAGCCCGGCCUGGGAGCUGGGAGGCCUGCACCUUGGCUGUGCUUCUGCCACCCUCCUCUCAGGGACCUGCUGAAGUCCCUGCCCUAUGUGGGCUACAAACAAGAGUGUGGGGGCAGAGGUGUCUUGCGGCCCCUCCCCUCUGAGUCUGUGCAGCCCUGGCCUCCCUUGUGUAUGUGUGGGUGGGGACAGUCCCUCGGUACCUGGAAGUCUGACAGGAGGAAGGUAAAACCUGUGGGAACCUGUUUUCUCCCAGGAAAUCGCUGCUUCCUUGGGGCCUCCGGAUUAGGACGGUGGCUUCUGGAGACACUGGAUAUGGGCUGAAAUCCAGGCGGAGGUGCCCUCCCUGCCAGAGCCGUCCUGUCCAGGGCCAUGGACUCUGCCUUCCCUGGACCAUGGACUCUGCCCUGGUGGUGGGAUUUCCCUCGGGUGGGGCUCCCCCUCCACCUGGACCCUCAACUGGGCAGCUUGGCAGGUGGGAGCUGAGAGCCCCUUCAGCAGCGGGGCUCACUCAGCCUUCUCCUCUGGGCAGUGAGAGCAAAUCAUCAAACGGGGGACUCUGCAGCUCCCAGGGCUGUGGCCGGGAAGUGGCAGGCUCUUGGUACUGAGUAUCACAUGCAGAUAUCACUGUGGCGCCCUGGAGAGCAAGAAGUCUCCCUGUGUCUGGCGCGGUGCAGGAUUGAUCCCGGUCCUCGCGGGGACCCUGUAAGCACAUGCGCUCAUUGUCUGGUUUCAUAGGAAGGACACUGAGGUUCAGAGAGUGAAAAGACUUUCGGGGGUCCUAGAGCCAGAGGAGAGGGACUCACCCCAGGUCUCCUUGGCCACAGCGCCCCGACUGUCCCUCGCAUGGCGCUUGGCCGCACACACCCCUCCUGGGGACACCGCCUUUCCUCAGAUCCUGACUGAUGAGAUCUUUCAGCGCUGAGUGGCUCUGACUGCCGCCCGCUUGUCCUUCCGAGACCCUCUCGGGUCAGUGUGGGCUCUCAGGUUUCCGACCUGGGAAAUGGACUCUGAGUAAUGAAUAAAGUGCAGACGGAGGUAUUGAUUGAAAUUCCACCGGCUGAACCGCGGGAAGGGAGGAAGGGCGGGACGCAGGGCAGGGCGUCCAGAGAGCAGCCAGGGACCCAUCUGCCCCAGAAGGGUGGCUUCCGGGCCUUUGGCUCUUGGUCCUGAAGGAGAUGCUCAGGGUGAGGAGGCCUGUGCUCAGGCUUGGGAGCCACAGCGACAGGUUCGAACCCAGCCCACCACUUCCUCUUCACUGGCCAAGUCACUCCACUGCUGUCCCUCUCUGAGUGCUGGGGACACAGGUCUGUCUCUGGAUGGGAGGGGAGGACCUGUGAUUGGCAGGGAUGGCAUAACAAAACGGAAUGCGGGAGGGUGACCCCUGCUCUCCCCACAAGGCCAAGGCCAUGGCUUAGAAGGGGGAUCCUUGAGAGGGGUAUGUCUUAAGGGUGGAGCCCUCACAAGUGGAUCAGGGCCCUUAAAAAAGGCCUCACAGCCUCCCUCAGCCCUCCUGCCAUGGGUGGCCUCACCAGGCCCAGGGUCUGCUGGCACCUUGAUCUUGGAGUCCAGCCCCGAGUGUGACCUGUGAGAAACAGACGUUUGUCAUCUGCCACCACCCAGCCUGCGGUCAUGUGUCAGAGCAGCCUCAGAGCAAAGACAGGCCCACAGGAAGGGGUUGCCUGGAUCAGAAAAGGGGGGAGAGAGGCUGAGAAGCAGAGCAGAGGCCCCCACCCCGGGAAGCUCCCGCUGGCCCUGGUCCGGCCUUCAUGGAGACUAAUUUCUCUUUCCCACCUCCCUUGUCCCUUCCUUCCUCGUCCCUCCCUCCCUCAAACAUUAAUUGAGAGCUCACUGCUGGCCCUGGGAGCCGGAGUCAGGACCCAGCUUGGGGAAACUCAUCUGGUCCAGACCAGCAAGCGCUAGUCCCCGCCCAGGCCGGCCAGAGCAGGCACUGCGCAUCCCCACUGCCUUCCCUCCGCUGGGCUCAGCCUUGAGACCCUGCUCUCCACAGAGCGCCAGACGCCAGGGCUCAUCACCGGGGUUGGUCCAAAUAUGGAAACGCUUUGCUGUGCCGAGCCAAGCACAGGCCUCUUGCCAUAACAAUUCAUCGACAUUUAAAAACAGCAAAUUUCCUCCAAGCCUACUCCAAGGAAACUCCUCCUCCUCAUGGUAACACCACUGGGCCUUCGACUCUGCCUGGUGGGUAGUUGAGUCACUGUGGUUGGGAGUCUGAGCAGUCUCUGCGGACGAAAGGGCUACAUCCGAGCCCCACCCCAGCACAGCAUCUUGCUGAGACUCGGGUUUGGGAUGAAUUUUCUGUGAUCGCUGCAACAAAUUACAACAAAUUUAGAGACUUAAAAUAGGCCAGGGGCGGUGACGCAUGCCUGUAAUCCCAGCGGCUCAGGAGGCUGAGGCAGGAGGAUCGUGAGUUCAAAGCCAGCUUCAGCAAAAGCGAGGGGGCUAAGCAACUCAGUGAGACCCUGUCCUUAAAUAAAUACAAAAUAGGGCUGGGGGCGUGGUUCAGAGGUCGAGGGCCCCUGAGUUCAAUCCCUGGUACACCGCCAAAAAGAGGAUAAGACGUUAUCUUGCAAUGCUGGACGUCAGAAGUCCCAAGUGAAGCUCACACGGCAUCAGCACGUGUCAACAGGGCCCUGUUUUUGCAGCCUUGGCUUCCAUGGUCACCUCUCCGACUCUCUGACCCUCCACCUCCCUCGUAAGAGGGUCUUGCUGGCUAUGGCAGGUCCACCCGGGUUAUCCAGGAUGACUGCUCCCUCUCAAGAUCAUAUCAGAAUCCUAUCUGUGAACUUCCUCGUGCCAUGUAAGGCAACGCCGACCCCAGGGAGCACAGUGUGGGUGUCUUUGGAGUCCAUUUUUCUAUCUACCACAGGUUCUUUAGCCAUAAAAUUGGGUUGUGGGUUUUUGUGGGGUUUUUGUUUGGUUUGGUUUGGUUUUUGGAGCCAGGAUUGAACCCAGGGUGCUUUAGAAUCUUUUAAUUUUUAAAAAAUAUAUAUUUAUUUUCUUUUUAGUUUUCAGUGGAUGCAAUAUCUUUAUUUUUUAUUUUUAUGUGGUGCUGAGGAUCGAACCCAGUGCCUCAUGCAUGCCAGGUGUGCGCUUUCCCACGGAGCCACAUCACCAGCCCUAGAACCUUUUAAUUUUGAGACAGCGCCUCUAAAUUGCCAAGUGUGGCCUUGAACUUGCCAUCCUCCUGCCUCAGUCUCUUAAGUCGCUGGGAUCACAGGUGUGCACCGCCCCACCCAGCAAGCUAAAACCGGGUAUUGAGAACCUACUUCACGGACCUGCAGGGGAGAUCAUGGAAGGCGAUUUGGAUGAAACAUUGAGCGCAGGGCCUGGCGCGGGACAGCAUGUGACACUGUCAUCUCAUGUGAGACUCAGUGAGACCAGUUAGUGGUCAGAGCCGAGUCUGGCCGCCUGCCCUCAGCCCUGCAGGCCGUCCCUCCCCUUCCUUACAGGUACCUCGUCUGCUCAGUGACGGGAGGGAAAUCGCUCAAGCCUGUAUCUGGGGUCCUUUCCAGCCCCCCGUCGGACCCCACCAACUAGUCUAUAGAGAGGUCCCUAUUCUGAGAGAGGAAGGGCCCCGUAUGUGGGACCCGACUCCUGGGGGCUCCUUGCCGAUGGCUCUGGGGGUGGGGCCCGCCUUGAGCUGGGAUGGAUGGAGCCUCCAGGAGACUCUAAGGCUCCCUGGGGCGUGAGGACCCUGGGUGGGGCACCAAGUGCCAGCUGGAUAGGGGGGCAGUGUCAGUCCACAGGAGGUUGCUACGGCCCAGGGAGAGAGCUGCUUGCCCAAGGCCCCAGGGAGGAGGAAGAGCUGGGGACGGACCACCGUCCACCUCCACCCAGGACACCUCCCUUCUCAGAGCCACCUGGACACAGGGCCCAGGGCCAGGGCCCUCCUCACCUGUCCUCUGUCAUUCUGGGCAGGGCCCGGCAUUCAUCUGGCGUCUAGGGUCUGAUAAUGACUGACACUCCAGUGCAAAUGGCUGAGCAUGCUGCUCUUUGAAAGGGGACAUUCCUGGUAACAAGAGAGAGCGUGCAACGCAGGACUUCCGUACCUUGUCCAGAGGACACGUGUGUGUUUCGGAGGGGGCCUGCAUGUCCUGAGCGCAGGCGAGAUGGCGUCAUGGCACCAGCACAGGGCACUGCUGCCCAGGGCCGUCACUGCCCACGGGCAGCCAAACCUUCAUCUGCGUGUCUGUACGGGCAGAGUCCCUCCCUCUGGGUUCCCAUGCGAGGAUCACAGCCUCCAUCAGGUGGUCCUCUCCUCCCUGGACCACCCAGCAGACCAGGGGGCUGCUGAGAGCUCACCCAGCCACCCAUCACCACGGUGACAAGGCAGGGAGGCCUGGGGAGGACCUUCUCCUCCUGAGGCAGCACCAUUUGUGCACCUGCCUGGGGUCUAGUGCCUGGCAAGACCCUGCUUCGCAAGCCCUCCCUGAUGGCCGCCCAGCCCCGCAGGAGGUGGCGGCAGGUCUGUGGAAAACUUGGGGCCAGGGGUCGGGGCUAGGGUCUGGCCCUGACUUUGCCACUGACUUGCUGUGUGACCUGGACAACUCUCUGUCCCUCUCUGGGCCUGGUGCCUUGCCUGGAAAACCAGAGUAAGACAUAAGGAUGUGAAAAGGCCCUUCCUCCCAGUGGACCUCCCAGCGGCCCUGUCCCUGGAUGUGUCAUGAAUCACAUCCGCUGGACCUGUGUCCUGCUGCAGGGCCCUCUGGGAGGUGUGCUUCUUUCUUCCCCCACAUGACCCCAAGUCCUCCGAGGGCAGGUGCUGCCUUCAGCCCUGUGGUCAGCACUGAGCUCUGCCCCUCCUCAGGGCCCACGGCUCGAUUCACGAAGACCCUCGCCUGGCUCAGAGCAGCACUCCCCUUGCAAGUCUCAGUGAGGCAGUCCCGGGGUCUGGGCCCCCAUCUCCGGACCCAGGAAGGGAUGCUUCAAGGAGGCCACAGACAAACGCUGUGGAACACGGGCCCCUCUUGAACCAGGUUCCCGGGACGAGGCCUCAGGCUCUGCCCCUGGCCUCAGGCACCUUCCAGCCCCAUCUCCCUAAAGACUCCAGGACUUUGCUCAUGCUGUUCCUUUGCCUCGGUGCUGUUCCCUGCCUUGCUCACAGGCUGCCUCCUGCAGGAAGCCUUCCCAAAUGCCACCAAAUGCAAACACAGACCCCGCCCCAGGCCUCCCACAGUCUAUGGAGCCUUCCUCCAGAUCUGUCAGGGUGUCCCUUGUUCCUAACCCGGGGCCUGCGCACCCGACGCUGGGGUGGAAAUAGACAGACUGGAGAGAGAAGGGGUCCCAGCAGUGGGGGGCGCUUCCCAGAAGCUGCAGAGGACAAACAGCUGGUGGCCGGGGUGGCUGUGACUCACCCCAGGCCUGGAGGCCGGGGAUGCUGCAGACGCUGAGUCAGGAGUCAGAGGCCUUCAGGAAUUUUGAUAAGGACAAGGCAAGCGCCCGAGUAUUUCUAGAAUGCAGAGGUUAGGGGUGGGGGAGCUGGAGCACAACAAACCGCCUGAUUAUGUUCCUUAUUUAUUUAUUUUGUGGUUUCAAAAUCCAGAAGGUACAAAGGGGUCAGCUAAGGCCCUCCGCCCGCCUGGUCCUGCACCUGGUCCCUCCUGGGGCGGCUGCUUACUCUUUUUCCUCCAAAAUCCUCCUCCUGCCCUCUUUACUAUUCAACACCAGCAGCCUGACUGCGCACUGUUUGCGUUUCCCCUUCUCCUAUCUCAGAAGCCAAACGUUUGUAUGGGUUAGGAAAUGGGAUUAGUGCCCUAUAAAAAAGCCCUGGGGACCAGAUGAAGUGACCCACGCCUGUAAUCCCAGCAGAUGGGGAGGCUGAGGCAGGAGGAUCACGAGUUCAAAGCCAGCCUCAGCAGUGGGGAGGCACUGAGCAACUCAGUGAGACUCUGUAAAUAAAUUACAAAAUAGGUCUGGGGGUAUGGCUCUGUGGUCCAGUGACCCUGAAUUCAAUCCUCAGAACCCCUCCCCCCAAAAAAAAGACCUGGGGGAGCUGAGCUGUUUGUCCUUUCUGCUACAGGAGGACAGGAAAGGCACCAUCUGUGAAGAACUGGCCUUGCCAGACACAACAGCUUCCAGAAGUAUGAGCAACUAAUUUCUGUUGUUCACAAACCACCCAGCCUAGGGUAUUGUGUUACAGCAGCCCAAACAAACCAAGAUGCGUGCCAUAGUAGGACAUCAGGAGCUGCCGCUUUUCUUUCUUUAACUGCAUUUAAAGUUUUCAGAUAAAAAUAUAGGGACUCGCCAGGUGUAGUGGCACAUGUCUGUCAUCCCAGCUGCUUGGGAGGCUGAGGAAGGAGGAUCACAAGCUCAAGGCCAGCCUCAGCAAUUUAGUUUGGCUCUAAGCAACUUAACAAGACUCUGUCUCAAAAAAAAGAGCUGGGGAAAAAAAAAUCAGGGAUUACAUUCAGGUUAUUUUUGAAUCAUUUGAAUUUCCAGUAAACUAUAAGCUAUUUUUUUUUAUUUUUAGUAUAAGCUUAUCCCAUAUAAUAUUUGGGAUAUACCUAAACUAAAAAAAAAAAAAAUCAUCGUUUAUCUUUCAACAGAUGACUUGUAUUUUUAUUGACUAAAUCUGGCCCCUGUGUAUAUCACAUGAGAACCUCCUAUGGCUAAAUCUUUAGGGGCUUUGGAAAUCAGGUCCCUAGACUUGGCGGGCUCCUACCCCGUAGCACUCCCUAGUCUUAUUUUUUUUAUUUUUUUUUUUUUUUUGGUGCUGGGGUGGACCUCGGGGCCUCACACAUGCCAGGCAAGUGCUCCACCUCUGGGCCACUCUCCAGCCCCUGGCCUUAUUCCUGAUCUGUGCGGGCGGAGGGGGGGUACGGGGGUUUGGGCCCAGUUCUGGAUUUCCCCUGGACCUCAAUUACUGAGAUAAGAAAUGAAAGGCCCUCGGGGCUGGUGGUGCCUGCCUGUGACCCCAGCCCUUCAGGAGCUGGGCAGGAAGCUGGCAAGCCGGAUGCCACCCUUGGCCACCCAGUGAGUCCCUACCUCAAACAACACGAAAAAGGGGGCUGGAGGGGGACCUAAGUGGGGUCAUUGCUUAGAGUGUGCACAGCCCUGGGCCCCCUCCUCAGCACCACGAAAAAUAAGAAUUAAAAAGCCUUUGGAGUUGUCCAGCUCACUGACCUUGUUUGAGGCUCAGAGAGAGGGACCCCUGUGGUCACACAGCAAGGCAGGGACAGAACUGGGGGUUCUGCAGCCUGGGCAUUUGGAGCAAGUUCCCCUUGGAGAGGACACAGUGGGAGCCGUCUCCCAGCUGGGUUGCUUGGUGCUGGGUUGCUCAGUGCUGGGUACCUGGUGCUGGGUUGCUCUGUGCUGGGUUGCUCAGUGCUGGGUACCUGGUGCUGGGUUGCUCGGUGCUGGGUCUGAACUCCAAACAGCCCAGCCGAUGGUGGUAAUAAUGACAGCUUCCACUGUCAACCAUGCCGGGGGCUGUGUGUAACUUUUCCCUCCUGGACCUGUGAAGAUAAGCCCAGCAGUCCCACAUCUUGGAGCUGGACACCAAGGCUCAGAGGGGCAAUCCAUGUCAUUAUUUGUCAAGACCCUCCCGACCAGGAAGUGGCAGUGCUACGAUUUUAACCCACAUGAGUGUAACUCCAAGGCUCAAACCCUUCCCCUGGAUUACUAACCCCAAUUAACAUGUAUGUGCCCAUUUUUCAGACGAGAAAACCGAGUAGUGGUGACAAGCCCUCUCUCUGGGGCCGCUUUAGCUUUACAAGAACUCAGAGCCGGGACACUCUGGUGCCUGUGGCCCAAAGAUGAAGACAAAGCCUUGCUGGUGCCUGCUCACUUGACCUUCGAUGCCCAGUGUCCACGGUGACUGGGUUUCUCCCAGAUGUCUCUGCUGUCCCGGCAUUCUCUUCAACCCCCUUCCCCUUUCCUGUCUCCGUCCCUCUACACUUCAAUAUUUGGGGUCAAGCUAAAGGAGCCUAGAAGAACUAAUUCCAACCUCAGCUUAGUCAUUUACUUGCUGUGUGACCUUGGGCAACUCACUUAACCUCCCUGGGUCUCACUUUGCUCAGCUGUCAAGUGGGAAAAGUUUUGUCUAAGUCUGAGCCUAUGACUGGCCAUGCAUAUUGGUUAGAAGGAAAGGGGAUAUUUAUUGUGCCCCUACCAUUUGUCACACCUGGCAUGAGAUAUUGGGGACCCUGAAGUGGGCCAAGCAGACACUUCCUGGGUAUGUUUCUGGGACGGUGGACGGAGGACGGUGUGGUGCAGGAGGUGGAGUAACGGGUUUUGUCAGUGUGGGCAGAAGAUGAGGGCCAUAAACCAGGAGGAAGGGUGGGAAUGACUAAUCUGAUAGGAGAGGGAGAAGAGCCCCGGCCUCGGCUGUAAGCGAUGGAUCAGGACUGGAACCGAGUCUGAUUUCGGGGCGCCUGGUCCCGCCGUCCCCAGCCCUGCAGAGAGCCCCGCCCACAGGAGAUUAAAGUCCCACUAGCGUCCGGACGUGUUCAGGGGGCUAGGUCUGUCCCCUGUAGUGCAAGUCCCCACCCCAGCACGAGCUGGAAGGAGCUGGGGCAGGAGUCGCCCCGCCCCCAGAGGCAGGGGGAGGGGUCGCCUCAAGGCCCCGCCCCCAGGUGUCCGGGCCGGGAGCCGCGGGGCCUCUCCUGCCAGCUCGGUGCUGAGCCUGGCCAGCGGGGCCCCAGUCUCGGUCCGGCUCUGGCUUCAGCCUCUCCAGUCCCCAAACCUGGGCAGCGCCCGCGUGCCAAAGGAGCCGCUGGGGCGCGGGAGGGGUCCAGGACGCAGCCGGCUCUUGGGAAACCUGGUGAAUUCUGCAGCGCACUCCUCCUCCUCCUCCUCCUCCUCCUCCUCCUCCUCCUCCUCCUCCUUAGGUGUAGGUCUCUCUCUCUCUCUCUCUCUCUCUCUCUCUCUCUCUCUCUCUCUCUCUCUGCCUCCAUCCCUAUCCCUCUCUCUGCAUAAUCUGUCCCUUCUAUUUCUGGCUGAUACAAGGGCCACUUGGCGUCCAGGGUCUACACUGCAGACUGCUCACAACCCACCUCUGUGGGUGGCGGAAACCCAGAAGCUGGCCCAGCUGACCUUGCUGCGGGCCUGAGGAGUGCAGGCUCCCCUCCUCCCUCCCCAGAGCAGCUGAGCAAACACAGGAGUGUGGGGGGGUGGGGUGGGAGCAGAAGAGCUGGGGACAGACCCCAGGGGAGGGCGGGCUGAGACCUGAGUGCAAGGUGAGGUCUCUGCAGAAGACAGUGGACCCAGCGGUGCUGGAAGCCAGGUAUGGUGGCUCUCAUCUGGAAUCCCAGCAACUCGGGAGGCUGAGACAGGAGGCUCUUGAGUUGAAGGCCAGCCUGGGCCAUUUAGCAAGACCCUAUCUCAAAAUGAAAAGGGCUGGGGGUGUGGCUCAGCGGUGGAGCACCCCUGGGUUCAGUCCCCACUACGGAGGGGGGGGAAGCCAAGUCGAAUGACCAGUCCCGUGGUCGGGCUGGGCCCUGGGGACCCUUCCCCAUGCACAAGCUGUCCAUCUCCAAAUGGCCUCCACAUCUAGUGGAGAGGCUCCUGUUCAUCAUAAAUGGCCACUGGAUGAGUGAGCUGGGUCUGGGCUAGGCCAGGAGGCCCUAGGAGGAGGCAUUUCAGAGCAAGGUCUGGGGAGACAGGAAGGGAUGGCCCCCACCAAGGAGCUGGGGCCAGAAGGGGCCUGGGCGGCACCAGCCCCGCCACCUCAGCCGGGGGGAGGUUCUUUCCGGCCUCCCUCUGUCCACCCCACCCCCACCCCAUGGUGACUUCCUUGUUUAAGGCUCCCACCGCCUCCCACCCCCACCCCAGUAACCAGAGCCCGGAUCUCUGCCCAGCUCCAGAUCCUCUUGCUGGGACCUCCCCUGGGCUGUGGUUUUAGCAAACAAUUUGGAACCUUCUGAGGCCUGGCAGAGGAGGCCUCCUGCACUCCUUCUCAGGGGGCUUAAGAUGCUCUGGCCCUGGGAUAAGAGCAACAGGGCAGGCAGUAGAGAAGGCCGCGGGGAGGGGCCACAUUUGUGACCUCAGCUGUGUGAUGCGAAAGGUGAGCUUGGAAAUGGAGCAGGGGGUCCUGGUGCUCUAUAGAUCAGGUCCAUGGACUCCCAUCUGCUCUGCACACAGCCCUGGGACUGUAACGUAUCACAGAUGAAUGGGUUGAAGCCAGAGAGGGUAAGUAACUUACCAAAGGACACACAGCAGAAAAUACAAGGAUCGGUAUAUGGACUCCAGAGUUCCUGCUUGUAAGCGCAGGGCACACUGACUCCAGGGGGGUAAAGGCCUGGGCAGGGUUGGUGAAUAGCAGAUGUUUGAAGGGCAGGGCACAGGAAGACGGGCCCAGACAGGUGGGCAGGGUCCAGGUCAGGUGGCGCCUUAGAGGACAUGUUCCUGACUAUGGAACUUCCAGGUAGGACGUUCUUUGGAGAAACGGUUUGCUGCUGACAGAUACACUGGAAGCCCCUGGGCUAGCUGACUGGAGAGCCCUCUGGCAGGAAGAUUUCCGGGUGGCCUCUGCUCAGAUCAGCGGGGCAGUGGGCGCCCAGUCCUAUCUGAGGUUUUGCUCAGUCCAGUCCAGAAGCGUGAUGAGCAGGGGACAGUAGGACUCUGAGCCAGGAUGGAGAGUCCUUCCUACCCAGACCCUAACACCACCCUGCAACCAGGAGACCCUGGGCAGGUCACCUGAGCACUCUGAGUCUCACACACCAGUCGCCUGUCCCCCUGGCCUGUCAGAGGAUCAGCAUGGCAGUGGUCCUCUGUGACCCAUCCCAGUGACCCACCCACUAGGCACAAGUGACACCCUCUUUAGACAGUUCCUGAGAAAAUGACGAGAGUGCCAGGUCUCUGUAUCUGGGUGGCCUUUGACAACCUGAAGAAACACAGUGGCACCUGACUCCAUCGACCCUCACACAGGCCCAGAAGCCAGCGGGGCACGUUCUGGUCCCAUCAGAAUAAGAGGCUCUUGUCAUGUCAUUGGAGCAACCGAGACACCCACAGGGAGGGAUUCCUGUGAGCAAGGGGCGCUCCCCCCUCAAAGGAAUGCACCUGCAGGCUGUCACCUUCAUAGUCUUGCUGUCUCCUCCCAAACCCAGAUUGGAAUCCCAACAACAAUAACGAUAAUAAAUGGCCGUAAUUAUAAAAGAGCACAGUAAUUAUUUUUUUAAGAGAGAGAGAGAAUUUUUUUUAAUAUUUAUUUAUUUAUUUUUUUUAGUUUUCGGCGGACACAACAUCUUUGUUUGUUUGUGGUGCUGAGGAUCGAACCCGGGCCGCACGCAUGCCAGGCGAGCACACUACCGUUUGAGCCACAUCCUCAGCCCAAGCACAGUAAUCAUAACUGCUUCUAGCAGGACAGGGUGGUGCAUACCUGUAAUCUCUGUGACUCGGGAGGCUGGGGCAGGAGGAUUGCAUAUUCAAGGCCAGCCUCAGCAACUCAGUGAGGCCCUAAGUAAUGUGGAGAAACCCUGUCUCUAAAUAAAAUAUAAGGGCUACGGUGUGGGGCUGGGGACAUAGCUCAGUUGGCAGAGAGCUUGCCUAGCAUGUACAAGGUCCUGGGUUCAAUCCCCAGCAACACCCAAAAGGGGGGGGGGGGCUGAGGAUGUGGCUCAGUGGUAAAGCACCCGAAUUAGGUGAUUCAGUCCUCAGGACCUUCUAUCCAUGAAGUAGGGACAUUGCUGUUCUCACUUUGCAGGUGACAAAGCAAAGGCUCAAGGACAUUCAGGAAGAGGCGGAUCCUGGCUUUGAACCUAAGACCAGCCCCUGGCACCAAGACCCCCAGCAUGAAUCCCCACCCAGCUAUGGGGGUGGCGGUAGGGGGGUGCCCCACUGUACUUGACUCUCUGUCUCCCACUGCCCUCAGCAUUUUGCUUUGUGCAUGCCUGAGGGUCCCGUGCCAAUCAGGUGAUGUAAACCCUGUCGUCCUUCCAGUGCCGAGGGCGGAGCCCAGAGCCUCACGUGUGCCAGGCCUGCGCUCUACCACUGAGCCCACCGGACCUUCCCGGGGCUUCAGAGGGUUGGGAUCAGGGGGGUGAGAAAGAGUGGAAAGAGUGGGCUGUGAGCUCACACCUGGAUUUGGACUUCAGCUUCAUCUCUGUCAUAUCUGUCCGUGUGUCUCUGUCUCUCUCUCUCUGUCAUUGAUAGUCGGGCACCGGACCCCUGAGCCACCUCGCCAGCCCUACUUUGAUUGGUAUUUAGAGACAGGUCUCUCUGAUGCUUGGCAGCUCGCCAUUGCUGAGGCUGGCUGGGAACUCAGGUCACCACACUGGCUCAGCUUCAUCUCUUAAGGGUCAAGUGUGACCAUGACCUUGACAUCCUCAUGGGUUUUAUUUCACACUGAAUCCCCCUCAUCCAGGAGGGAAAAUAAAGCAGCCAGGCCACAGGCCUUGGAAGAACACAAAGCGUGGCCCCGAGGGCUUCUCACCCGAGUUCCAGGAACCAGGAACCGUGGGCAGCUGGGCUCUGGCAUGGAGGUCGCAGGUGAGUCAAGGUCGUGAAUAGCUGCCCUCCACGCGUGGACAUUUCCCAGAUUUCCUGUGUCGUCACAAGUGUUCUUAAACAUGGAAGAGGGGGACAGAGGAGGGUCAGAAGAGUGUGGCAUUGGUGUCCCUGAGGACAGAAGAAGGGCCUCUAGCAGCCAGCAAAGACAAGGAGGCAGAUCCUCCCGAGUCAGGAGCCCAUGGGAACCAAGCAGCCUCUGCCUUACCUGUGGCUCCUGAGACCUGUUGACCCCCGCACACACACCACCCCCCACUGAAAGAUGGUACCUUCCUGUUCUAUUGUAGUAGUUUGUACCAAGGGUUGAACCCAGGGGUGCUUCACCACUGAGCUGCAUCUCCAGCCCUUUUUUGUAUUUUGUUUACAGGGUCUUUCUGAGUUGCUUAGGGCCUCAGUAAGUCGCUGAGGCUGGCCUUGAACUUCAGAUCCUCCUGCCUCAGCCUCUAGAACUGCUGGCAUUACCGGAUGCGCCACAGUGCCGGGCUCCCCGUAGUUUUAAAUUACCAGGUGUGUGGCCAUUUGGUAGCAACCAAGAAUCAGCAAAUGUUGGUUCCCACUCCUCCCUGCACCCAGCACCCUCCCCAUCCAAUUGUGCAAGUCCUUUAUUUUUAAUGUUUGUUGCUGCAGAUGGAACCCAGGGCUUUGGGCUGCUAAAUACAUGCUGUGGCACUGAG